rnacentral:rRNA from 1 species
ACACUGUCGUGAAAUCGCUGAAGUGGAACCGGAGAGAGUUAACAUAACUUGGUAGCUAUAUUCUCUAUAGUCGCUUAGCUGUGGCUUUGGGGGGUGGACGCUACCUGUUGUUGCGCUGACUGCGUUGAUCAUGCUUUCCUAACAAUGUAGUGUUGCCCACAUUGUGGUGUCUUGCUUAUUGGGAGGUUUGUCAUGGUUAACGUCAAGCCUUAGUUUCUAGGGAGUCAGUGUGAAAGUUAACCACCUUUCCGACCCGUCUUGAAACACGGACCGAGGAGUGUAAUUUACACGCGAGUCAAAGGGCUGAGGAAACCUUAUGGCAUAAUGAAAGUAAAGACCGGUUAACCGGUUGACAUGGGAUCCGACUGAACUUCUUCGAAACGGAGCACCAUGGCCCUGUCUUGUCUGCUUGCAGAUGGGCAGCGGUAGAGCGUGUAGGUUGCGACCCGA